rnacentral:lncRNA from 1 species
UCCCUCCACGCCGCCAGGGGGCGCGCGGCCCUGGUGCUGCGCCUGCGCGGCGGUUCGAACGCGAUGGCGGCGGCGAGAGGGUGAAGGAGCGGGCGCGUCUCGCCGCCCGUCUCCUCAGGCGUUUCCAGGUGCCGUUGUCAUCUCUCGCUCUGUCUUUGCAGGAUGUCCGCGCCUGCGAGCCACCCUACCGCUACGGCGGCGGGCGGAGAAGCGCCGAAAACUAAGCAGAAAGGUAGCCGGGGGGUGAGGGGGGAGCCCGCUCUGACUGAGGCGCGGCCGGGCGCUGAGGUGGGAAGCGCGACGGCCAGCCCGGCUGAGCUCUCUUUGCUCCUUCUUCAGGAGGAAGGAUCGUGAAGUCUCGCUACCUGCAGUACGACAAGAAAGACGUCAGGAAGGUACUUGGACGCCUCCCUGCCGAGCUCAAACGUCGCUCAGCAAAGGGUAGAAAUGGCGUGAGGGGCAGCUGGGGUGUGGGGCAGCAAGACCUCAGCAAAAAAUUGAGUUUGUUGGGGUUAUGAGGGAGUCGUGGUGUGGUAUUAAAUGCUUACUGGGAUGGGAACUUGGGACUGAACUCGGGUUACUUGCAAAAGCACCAAGACACCCUGGGAUUAUUGUCAUUGUUUAUUGUUAGCAUUCUAGGAGGUAUAUUGCUGAUCACAGUUACUGUUUAUGCUCAGUCUUAAUCUGUUUCUUGAUUAUCAGGAUACUCCAACAAAUUCCUUUUCCAUAUCUACUGGUAAACCAUCUUCUUCAGCUAAAUCAAGAGCAGUUCCUGCUCAGAAAUGUACAACUUCUGCUGGUCUUCUCUCUAAGUCUUUAAGUCAGAGUAGUUGUGAGAAACUUAACUUGCAGUCCACUUUAUUAGAUGAAGAUAAACUUGAACGACCGCAGCUUGAUUUUUCAGCAAUUGGUGGUAAGCUUCCACUCCUACUCAGUCUUUUGGUUUAUUAUUUUUAACAUAUGUGCUGUAACUUGAUGAUGAGUAACCCUUGUAUUCUUC